AACGAACGCUGGCGGCAUGCCUAACACAUGCAAGUCGAACGAGACCUUCGGGUCUAGUGGCGCACGGGUGCGUAACGCGUGGGAAUCUGCCCUUGGGUUCGGAAUAACAGUUAGAAAUGACUGCUAAUACCGGAUAAUGUCUUCGGACCAAAGAUUUAUCGCCCAGGGAUGAGCCCGCGUAGGAUUAGCUAGUUGGUGAGGUAAAGGCUCACCAAGGCGACGAUCCUUAGCUGGUCUGAGAGGAUGAUCAGCCACACUGGGACUGAGACACGGCCCAGACUCCUACGGGAGGCAGCAGUGGGGAAUAUUGCACAAUGGGCGAAAGCCUGAUGCAGCAAUGCCGCGUGUGUGAAGAAGGCCUGCGGGUUGUAAAGCACUUUCGGUAGGGAAGAUAAUGACGGUAUCUACAGAAGAAGACACCGGCUAACUCCGUGCCAGCAGCCGCGGUAAU
rnacentral:rRNA from 1 species